AUUGAACGCUGGCGGCAUGCCUUACACAUGCAAGUCGAACGGCAGCACGGGUGCUUGCACCUGGUGGCGAGUGGCGAACGGGUGAGUAAUACAUCGGAACGUACCUUAUCGUGGGGGAUAACGCAGCGAAAGCUGUGCUAAUACCGCAUACGCCCUGAGGGGGAAAGCGGGGGAUCGCAAGACCUCGCGCGAUUAGAGCGGCCGAUGCCUGAUUAGCUUGUUGGUGGGGGAAAAGCCCACCAAGGCGACGAUCAGUAGCUGGUCUGAGAGGACGAUCAGCCACACUGGGACUGAGACACGGCCCAGAGUACUACGGGAGGCAGCAGUGGGGAAUUUUGGACAAUGGGGGCAACCCUGAUCCAGCAAUGCCGCGUGAGUGAAGAAGGCCUUCGGGUUGUAAAGCUCUUUUGUCAGGGAAGAAACACCGGCUCUAACACAGUCCGGGAAUGACGGUACCUGAAGAAUAAGCACCGGCUAACUACGUGCCAGCAGCCGCAGUAA
rnacentral:rRNA from 1 species